CCACGGGAGGCAGCAGUGGGGGAUAUUGCACAACGGGGGAAACCCUGAUGCAGCGACGCCGCGUGAGUGAAGAAGUAUUUCGGUAUGUAAAGCUCUCUCAGCAGGGAAGAAAAUGACAGUACCUGACCAAGCAGCCCCGGCUAACUACGUGCCAGCAGCCGCGGUAAUACGUAGGGGGCAAGCGUUAUCCGGGUUUACUGGGUGUAAAGGGGGCGUAGACGGUUAUGUAAGUCUGGAGUGAAAGCCCGGGGGCCAACCCCGGGACUGCGUUGGAAACUGUGUAACUAGAGUACAGGAGGGGCAGGCGGAAUUCCUGGUGUAGCGGUGAAAUGCGUAGAUAUCAGGAGGAACACCGGCGGCGAAGGCGGCCUGCUGGACUGAAACUGACGUUGAGGCUCGAAAGCGUGGGGAGCAAACAGGAUUAGAUACCCGGGUAGUC
rnacentral:rRNA from 1 species